AGAGAGAAGCCCAAGCAGGCUCUGCACUGUCAGCAUGGAGCCUGGUGUGGGGCCCGAACCCAUGAACCAUGAGAUCAUGACCUGAGCUGAAACCAAGAGUCUGACGCUUAACUGACUGAGCCGCCCAGAUGCCCCUGGAACGUCAUACUUGAGAGACCUGCAUAGACUCAGCGUCUUCCUGCCUGUUGCCAAGACUCCUUCAUGCCAUAACUUCCAGCCUUCAGAUGACCCUUUCUACUCAAGGAAAUUCGUUUAUGUUUCUACCUUGGAUUCAGCGGAUACAUCUU